rnacentral:misc_RNA from 1 species
GAAAUGCGAUACGUAAUGUGAAUUGCAGAAUUCAGUGAAUCAUCGAAUCUUUGAACGCACAUUGCGCCCGCCAGCACUCUGGCGGGCAUGCCUGUCCGAGCGUCAUUUCAACCCUCAGGACCCCUUCGGGGGAACCUGGCGUUGGGGAUCGGCCCGCCCCCGUGGCGCGGCCGGCCCCGAAUCACAGUGGCGGCCCCAUCGCGAGCUCCCCUGCGCAGUAGCGAUACCUCGCAGCCGGAUAGCGGUGCGGCCACGCCGUAAAACACCCCACUUCUUCAAGGUUGACCUCGAAUCAGGUAGGACUACCCGCUGAACUUAA